AGUGAGGAAUAUUGGGCAAUGGAGGCAACUCUGACCCAGCCAUGUCGCGUGCAGGAAGACAGUUCUAUGAAUUGUAAACUGCUUUUAUACGGGAAGAAACACAAAGACGUUUCUUUGUCUGCCUGUACCGUACGAAUAAGCAUCGGCUAACUCCGUGCCAGCAGCCGCGGUAAUACGGAGGAUGCGAGCGUUAUCCGGAUUCAUUGGGUUUAAAGGGUGCGUAGGCGGAAUAAUAAGUCAGGGGUGAAAGUUUGCGGCUCAACCGUAAAAUUGCCUUUGAUACUGUUAUUCUUGAGUACACGCGAGGUAUGCGGAAUGUGAUGUGUAGCGGUGAAAUGCUUAGAUAUAUCACAGAACACCGAUUGCGAAGGCAGCAUACUAGAGUGUCACUGACGCUGAUGCACGAAAGCGUGGGUAUCGAACAGGAUUAGAUACCCUGGUAGUCCACGCCGUAAACGAUGGUUACUAGCUGUUUGCGAUACAUAGCAAGUGGCAAAGCGAAAGCAUUAAGUAACCCACCUGGGGAGUACGUUGGCAACGAUGAAACUCAAAGGAAUUGACGGGGGCCCGCACAAGCGGUGGAACAUGUGGUUUAAUUCGAUGAUACGCGAGGAACCUUACCUGGACUUAAAUGUAGAUUGCAUAGAGUAGAGAUAUUCUUUUCUUCGGACUAUUUACAAGGUGCUGCAUGGUUGUCGUCAGCUCGUGCCGUGAGGUGUCGGGUUAAGUCCCAUAACGAGCGCAACCCCUAUCGUUAGUUGCCAUCAGGUUAAGCUGGGGACUCUAACGAGACUGCCGGUGUAAACCGCGAGGAAGGUGGGGAUGACGUCAAAUCAGCACGGCCCUUACGUCCAGGGCUACACACGUGUUACAAUGGCCGGUACAAAGGGCAGCUACCCCGCGAGGGGAUGCGAAUCUCAAAAACCGGUCACAGUUCGGAUCGGAGUCUGCAACCCGACUCCGUGAAGCUGGAAUCGCUAGUAAUCGCGCAUCAGCCAUGGCGCGGUGAAUACGU
rnacentral:rRNA from 1 species